CGUAACAAGGUUUCCGUAGGUGAACCUGCGGAAGGAUCAUUAACGAG
rnacentral:rRNA from 1 species